UACGGAGGGGACUAGCGUUGUUCGGAAUUACUGGACGUAAAGCGCACGUAGGCGGAUAUUUAAGUCAGGGGUGAAAUCCCAGAGCUCAACUCUGGAACUGCCUGUGAUACUGGGUAUCUCGAGUAUGGAAGAGGUGAGUGGAAUUCCGAGUGUAGAGGUGAAAUUCGUAGAUAUUCGGAGGAACACCAGUGGCGAAGGCGGCUCACUGGUCCAUUACUGACGCUGAGGUGCGAAAGCGUGGGGAGCAAACAGG
rnacentral:rRNA from 1 species